rnacentral:rRNA from 1 species
AUUAAAGGAGUAAUCCACUAUGAGAUGGGCCCGCGGCGCAUUAGUUAGUUGGUGAGGUAACGGCUCACCAAGGCGAUGACGGGUAGCCGGUCUGAGAGGAUGUCCGGCCACACUGGAACUGAGACACGGUCCAGACACCUACGGGUGGCAGCAGUCGAGAAUCAUUCACAAUGGGGGAAACCCUGAUGGUGCGACGCCGCGUGGGGGAAUGAAGGUCUUCGGAUCGUAAACCCCUGUCAUGUGGGAGCAAAUUAAAAAGAUAGUACCACAAGAGGAAGAGACGGCUAACUCUGUGCCAGCAGCCGCGGUAAUACAGAGGUCUCAAGCGUUGUUCGGAAUCGCUGGGCGUAAAGCGUGCGUAGGCUGUUUCGUAAGUCGUGUGUGAAAGGCGCGGGCCCAACCCGCGGACGGCACAUGAUACUGCGAGACUAGAGUAAUGGAGGGGGAACCGGAAUUCUCGGUGUAGCAGUGAAAUGCGUAGAUAUCGAGAGGAACACUCGUGGCGAAGGCGGGUUCCUGGACAUUAACUGACGCUGAGGCACGAAGGCCAGGGGAGCGAAAGGGGAUUAGAUACCCCUGUAGUCCUGGCAGUAAACGGUGCACGCUUGGUGUGCGGGGAAUCGACCCCCUGCGUGCCGGAGCUAACGCGUUAAGCGUGCCGCCUGGGGAGUACGGUCGCAAGAUUAAAACUCAAAGAAAUUGACGGGGACCCGCACAAGCGGUGGAGUAUGUGGCUUAAUUCGAUGCAACGCGAAGAACCUUACCUGGGCUUGACAUGUAAUGAACAACAUGUGAAAGCAUGCGACUCUUCGGAGGCGUUACACAGGUGCUGCAUGGCCGUCGUCAGCUCGUGUCGUGAGAUGUUUGGUUAAGUCCAGCAACGAGCGCAACCCCUGUUGCCAGUUACCAGCACGUGAAGGUGGGGACUCUGGCGAGACUGCCCAGAUCAACUGGGAGGAAGGUGGGGACGACGUCAGGUCAGUAUGGCCCUUAUGCCCAGGGCUGCACACGUACUACAAUGCCCAGUACAGAGGGGGCCGAAGCCGCGAGGCGGAGGAAAUCCUAAAAACUGGGCCCAGUUCGGACUGUAGGCUGCAACCCGCCUACACGAAGCCGGAAUCGCUAGUAAUGGCGCAUCAGCUACGGCGCCGUGAAUACGUUCCCGGGUCUUGCACACACCGCCCGUCA